UCUGCUAGGGGUGCGAAAGCUGAGAAUGCGGGAGAGAUUCCGCAGACCCUCAAUACCUGAUCUGGUUAAUGCCAGCGUAGGGAAGCAU
rnacentral:ncRNA from 1 species